rnacentral:rRNA from 1 species
GACGAACUGUCCAAACGUUGUUCGGAAUCACUGGGCUUAAAGGGUGCGUAGGCGGCGCGGUAAGUCGGGUGUGAAAUCUUGGAGCUUAACUCCGAAACUGCAUUCGAUACUGCCGUGCUUGAGGACUGGAGAGGAGACUGGAAUUUACGGUGUAGCGGUGAAAUGCGUAGAUAUCGUAAGGAAGACCAGUGGCGAAGGCGGGUCUCUGGACAGUUCCUGACGCUGAGGCACGAAGGCCAGGGGAGCAAACGGG